UACAGAGGUCUCAAGCGUUGUUCGGAUUCAUUGGGCGUAAAGAGCUCGUAGGCGGUUCGGUAAGUCGGGUGUGAACCUCCAGGCUCAACCUGGAGAUGCCACCUGAUACUGCUGUGACUCGAGUCCGGUAGGGGAGCGUGGAAUUCCUGGUGUAGCGGUGAAAUGCGCAGAUAUCAGGAGGAACACCAGCGGCGAAGGCGGCGCUCUGGGCCGGAACUGACGCUGAGGAGCGAAAGCGUGGGUAGCAAACAGG
rnacentral:rRNA from 1 species